rnacentral:rRNA from 1 species
CAGUAGCCACGGGAAUACGUAGGUGGCAAGCGUUGUCCGGAAUUAUUGGGCGUAAAGGGCUCGCAGGCGGUUUCUUAAGUCUGAUGUGAAAGCCCCCGGCUCAACCGGGGAGGGUCAUUGGAAACUGGGAAACUUGAGUGCAGAAGAGGAGAGUGGAACUCCACGUGUAGCGGUGAAAUGCGUAGAGAUGUGGAGGAACACCAGUGGCGAAGGCGACUCUCUGGUCUGUAACUGACGCUGAGGAGCGAAAGCGUGGGGAGCGAACAGGAUUAGAUACCCGGGUAGUCCCUGUCUCUUAUAC